GACGAACGCUGGCGGCGUGCUUAACACAUGCAAGUCGAACGGAAAGGCCCUGCUUUUGUGGUGUGCUCGAGUGGCGAACGGGUGAGUAACACGUGAGUAACCUGCCCGUGACUUUGGGAUAACUGCAGGAAACUGGGGCUAAUACCGGAUAGGAGCUCCUACUGCAUGGUGGGGGUUGGAAAGUUUCGGCGGUUGGGGAUGGACUCGCGGCUUAUCAGCUUGUUGGUGGGGUAGUGGCUUACCAAGGCUUUGACGGGUAGCCGGCCUGAGAGGGUGACCGGCCACAUUGGGACUGAGAUACGGCCCAGACUCCUACGGGAGGCAGCAGUGGGGAAUAUUGCACAAUGGGCGGAAGCCUGAUGCAGCAACGCCGCGUGCGGGAUGACGGCCUUCGGGUUGUAAACCGCUUUCGCCUGUGACGAAGCGUGAGUGACGGUAAUGGGUAAAGAAGCACCGGCUAACUACGUG
rnacentral:rRNA from 1 species